rnacentral:tRNA from 1 species
GAGAAGAAAAGGGAAUAGAAAUCUUCGAAUGUCACAUCGCUGCUCUGAAAUGAAAUUCCUCAGGACUCGAUCGCAAAGUUCCUCACUGGCGUUCGCGUGACUCCGCGAGGUCUCAGCGACAAACAAUUCAUUCGUGGCCAACUAGCCAGCGACGGAGGGUCGCGGGAGAGCAAUCCGUAUUCAACUCUCAGGCCGCGAUUCUCGUAGAUACUCACCCCUGUCUAGCGUCCGCGAUCACACGCGACUGCGCUCGUCUCUACAUCCCGCGUGCAUCGUGGGCGUCCGGUCAGGUGUGCAGCUCUUGGCUCUUGGCGGAAACAGGAUCGUCGGUGCGACGAUCCGACGGGACGCCGGAACAACAGAUCACAGCUAGAAUCGACCGAGAGAGCUCAUCGAGAACAUUUCCCGCAUCGCUCAGGACAACUUACGAGGACGCGCGAUCACCACGUGCGAGCUGUCAAAUGGCCCUUUAAACGGCGGCCAUUAGGCACGUAACGGACGACCCAGGACGAGUUACCUCAUCGAGCGCGCCACCCUUGCCAUCGGACGAGGUGGCCGAGUGGUUAAGGCGUUGGACUGCUAAUCCAAUGUGCUCUGCACGCGUGGGUUCGAAUCCCAUCCUCGUCGUUCGCUUUUUGUUCAGCCUCACGAACGCGCAGAGGCCGCCCUCCUCCUCCUCUCCUCGAUAUGGCGCGCACGCGCGCGCGCGCGCGCGCGCGAUACCUGCUAUGCCGCCGCACGCGCGUUCUAUCGAUCGCUCGCGCAAUAAUUAAAAACCGCGAUCCUCGCGUGCGCGCGCGCGGCGGUUUCGAGAGGCGGACAUAUGUGCACGCGCGCGGCUAUUUAAAUGCUCGUAUUUAAAUCCCCUCCACGUGUGCUCGAUAAACGUCAGUUUGUGGUGGGAGGGGUGUGCACAUGUGUGCCGGCGCUGCCUGUGUCCUCUCAUUCUAUGUAAAUCGUGCGAAAGAACUCGCAGCGGAGAAGCACAUUCGUUCUCGGUACGGUGCUUUUUGCCGGAAGAAACGAGGACGUGUCUUUCCUAUGAAUAAGUCUCCCUUCCAUCACGUUUCGAUAAAUUUCAGUUUUCUCAUACGCAAUCCCAAAAGUCACUUUUUCGUAUUUUCCUUGCGAGUUUAUCAUUUUGUCGGUUUGUGUGUUUGGGAAUGCGCCUGUUUGCAUGUGUGUGUGUGUGUGUACUUCGUAAUUUAAUAAAGCAGGGGAGACAACAAUAUAUUGCGAAACAUCUCUCUGCCGCUAUCGCAAAUGACAUGUAUCAUUCACGUGAUUCAUAAUAUGCAGAAGACAAUGGGAAUGUACUUGUGUCACCGAAAGGAGUCAUAUUCGCGCAUAAAAAAAUCCGGUCGUGUACGAUCGAACGAUGUCUUACGUAAUAUACUUUAUGACCGAUCCGCAUGAACGAUCUGUUGCAAAAUCGACGGAAAUCUUUUUGCCGCGAACGGUCAGUGCGAACGGCGGAUGGGAAGGAUCGAUUGUUCCGAGCGAGUCAAAAACAGAGGAUAAACGUGCUACUCUAUACCUUGCUACAAUCGCGCGAAAGAGCAAAUAAAUUACACAUUGUGGUAUUCUCUGCAAUACGUAUUGAUGAGAUUUUAUGUAACAAAGAAAUUUUAAUUAUUAUUAAUAUAAUUGAUGUAAAUUGCGUGCGCGUAUUGUGGAGAAUAUUAUAGGACAUUUGUAUUAAUAACAUGUUUUCAUUAAUAAUCACCUAAUAAAAUUAAUAACGAUGAA